rnacentral:rRNA from 1 species
GAUGAACGCUGGCGGCGUGCCUAAUACAUGCAAGUCGAGCGAACAGACGAGGAGCUUGCUCCUCUGACGUUAGCGGCGGACGUGUGAGUAACACGUGGAUAACCUACCUAUAAGACUGGGAUAACUUCGGGAAACCGGAGCUAAUACCGGAUAAUAUAUUGAACCGCAUGGUUCAAUAGUGAAAGACGGUUUUGCUGUCACUUAUAGAUGGAUCCGCGCCGCAUUAGCUAGUUGGUAAGGUAACGGCUUACCAAGGCAACGAUGCGUAGCCGACCUGAGAGGGGGGGCGCCCCCAGGGGAAGUGAGCCGGGGUCCGGGCUCCUAGGGGGGGCGGAAGUGGGGAAUCUUCCGCAGGGGGCGAAGGCUGGACGGAGCAGCGCCGGGGGAGGGAGGAAGGUCUUGGGAUCGAAAACUUGGUUUAUGGGGGAAAAAAAAGUGUGUAAGUAACUAUGCACGUCUGGGGGGUCCCUAAUCGGAAGGCCGGGGCAAACUAGGGG